rnacentral:rRNA from 1 species
ACUCCUACGGGAGGCAGCAGUGGGGAAUAUUGGACAAUGGGCGCAAGCCUGAUCCAGCAAUGCCGCGUGGGUGAAGAAGGCCUUCGGGUUGUAAAGCCCUUUUGUACGGGAAGAAAUCAUUCGGGUUAAUACCCUGGGUGGAUGACGGUACCGUAAGAAUAAGCACCGGCUAACUUCGUGCCAGCAGCCGCGGUAAUACGAAGGGUGCAAGCGUUAAUCGGAAUUACUGGGCGUAAAGCGUGCGCAGGCGGCGCCAUAAGACAGCUGUGAAAUCCCCGGGCUUAACCUGGGAACUGCGUUUGUGACUGCGAGACUUGAGUGCGGCAGAGGGGGGUGGAAUUCCACGUGUAGCAGUGAAAUGCGUAGAGAUGUGGAGGAACACCGAUGGCGAAGGCAGCCCCCUGGGUCGACACUGACGCUCAUGCACGAAAGCGUGGGGAGCGAACAGGAUUAGAUACCCUGGUAGUC